GACGAACGCUGGCGGCGUGCUUAACACAUGCAAGUCGAACGGAAAGGCCCUGCUUUUGUGGUGUGCUCGAGUGGCGAACGGGUGAGUAACACGUGAGUAACCUGCCCUUGACUUUGGUAUAACUUCAGGAAACUGGGGCUAAUACCGGAUAGGAGCUCCUGCUGCAUGGUGGGGGUUGGAAAGUUUCGGCGGUUGGGGAUGGACUCGCGGCUUAUCAGCUUGUUGGUGGGGUAGUGGCUUACCAAGGCUUUGACGGGUAGCCGGCCUGAGAGGGUGACCGGCCACCUUGGGACUGAGAUACGGACCAGACUCCUACGGGAGGCAGCAGUGGGGAAUAUUGCACAAUGGGCGGAAGCCUGAUGCAGCAACGCCGCGUGCGGGAUGACGGCCUUCGGGUUGUAAACCGCUUUCGCCUGUGACGAAGCGUGAGUGACGGUAAUGGGUAAAGAAGCACCGGCUAACUACGUG
rnacentral:rRNA from 1 species